CACGGUUCAAGUGAACAUAGCAGGCAAUCUGUUUGUAGGUAAUGAGCUUACUAGAUGUUUAAACUGGAUUUUAAUAAUAGUAUCUUCAAAGGUUGUUGAGGAUACAACUCUUCUUACCAGCAUUUAUCUGAUUGUGUUUGUCAUUUCUCACCUUGUUUUAGAGUGAUCAGACUGACAUGUCACAUGUGACAAGUGUGUAGCAAUACUAGCAGUUAUAGGAGGAUAGGAGGAGAAAAAAAAAAAAACCCUUGCCUGUGCCUUGGCCCCCCGGUCCAAAACGACCAACACCAACUCCUCCAGGUCCAGUUCCAUAGCCUCCAGGACCAACACCACCUGACCCGACUCCGCCCGGUACCAGUCCUCCUCCAAGCGCUCCAGUCACUCCACCACGACCACCGUAGCCGCCUCCUACAGACAAAUGAGAGGAAAAGAGGUACAACUCCCAGUCCACCACUGCCUGGGCCGAAGGUGCUCGGCCUGAAGCCUCCUGGUCCGACUCCUCCGGGACCGACUCCUCCGGGUCCGACUCCUCCAGGUCCGACUCCUCCAGGUCCAACUCCUCCAGGUCCUUGACCACCAUAGCCUCCUGAGGAAUACAUUCAUUGGGACAGUGUGAGAACAAUGUCAGCAGAUUGGCUGAAGGAGUGCUACUUCAUGAAUGCAGGAAACACAAAUGGCAUCCACCUCCACCUGCUCCUGGUCCAAAACCUCCCAGACCAGCACCUCCACCAGGCUGAAAUCCAGUCCCAGCUCCUCCAGGACCAAAUCCAGUCCCAGCUCCUCCAGGGACCAAAUCCAGUCCCAGCUCCUAAAUCCAGUCCCAGCUCCUCCAGGGCCAAAUCCAGUUCCUGCUCCUCCAGGGCCAAAUCCAGUUCCUGCUCCUCCAGGGCCAAAUCCAGUCCCAGCUCCUCUAGGACCAAAUGCAGUACCUGCUCCUCCAGGGCCAAAUCCAGUACCUGCUCCUCCAGGGCCAAAUCCAGUUCCAGUCCCACCUUGUCCGAAUCCAGUUUGAGGUCCAGCUCCUGCUCCUAUGCCGGUUCCAGCUCCGACUGCUGCUCCACCAGAAGGUAUAUAUACACCUGAUACACAGAACCAGUUCAGUCACAGCAGAUUACAAUAUGAUUUUAUAAUGGUUUAAAGUUAUGACAAGUUAUACAAAAUUAAAAA
rnacentral:lncRNA from 1 species